GGUGUAUUAACAUUUCCUCCAAAGGUAUUGCUAGCAUGUAACCUUCUAGGAAGUUUCCUGCAUGCCCCACAGUUUCACAGCAGUUGGAUGUAUCUGUUUACAGAGUAUCUGUGCAGUGACACCUGCUCAUAUUUUGUCCUCGAAAGUAAUUUCAGAUGACUGCUUCCAGAAACCAAAGCAUCAAGUAUCCUGGCAUUGAGGGGUGCAUAUCAGGACGCUGAUUGAUUAUAACAUGCUGAGUUGGGAAUAGAAUCCAGGAACCAAACUCCCAGUCCUUUCUAACUACUAGACAACACCACCAACCACACAUUGCUGCCUCCAUCAUCCCAGUGAAGUGAUUCAGACGCCUUUUAGAACUGGACAUACUUUAUUCUCAAUUGACAAGGGCAUUUUUGACAACACCAGGAAGAAGUUCCAGCAGCAGCAAUCCAAUUUGGGUCACCCGUCCGGCAGUGCAGAGUAUUAACAAGUCCACUUCACUUGACUUUUAAGUUCUGCCCUACAUCUAUUUAAAUAAACUAUGUCUGGAUCAAGAAGCAUUUUGGAAGAAUAGACACACAAAUAAUUUCUACGGGGAAAUGAUUACAGAGAAGUUAGCAUUGCUGACAUUCAAAGGGGUUGCUUUGAGGUCAAUCUGCUUGAAGAGGUUGAGAGCCUUUUCUCUACUCCAAGAAAUUCAUGGAGUGCAAGAGUCUCUUCAGUAAAAGAGGUGAUUGAUAGACCUCAAGACAUACUAGGUCAAAUCCACAUACAUUAUGCUGGCACUGUAGUACAGCGGUAGGGGUAUUGGAAUGGUUCACUUGAAUAUAUUCAUGGUUUGUUUUUUUUUUUUUUUUUUUUCUUCUUCUUCUUUAAGAGUCAUUCUCAUCCUACCUGUUAAUGAUUCUAGUUUGUCACUAGAUAAGUGCAUCAAAUUUACUGGGCAAACGGAAGAGCCCCCUCUGUCCUGUGUAUGGGCUUGGCUUGUGUUGUAUAACCUGCGGUGCAUACCAACAGAUAACUGGACUUGACUCCAGGCCAGUGAGUGACUCUUAAGUGAGUUCAACAUGCUUGUGCAUCUGGACUAGGGUGACCAGAUAGCAAGUGUGAAAAAUUGGGACAGAGGGUUGGGAGGUAAUAGGCACCUAAGUAAGAAAAAGCCCCAUAUAUCAGGACUGUCCCUAUAAAAUCAGGACAUCUGGUCAGUCUACUCUGGACUUAUUUAUUGCCAGAGGAAUUAGAUUUUCACUUGUACACUUUUAAAAAUUGCAUCUCAUGGUUAAAGUGGCAAGGUUAAUGUCAAUUUUUUCCAAUGCUAUUCUUUCUUAAAACGAACCAUUACAUUUAUGAUGACUUCAUU